UUCCGCCCACCCUCACGUGUGCCCAAGCUCGGGCUCAGUGUGGCGCAGGACGCCCCUCACGCACGUCCUGCGGCUCAGUGCACUCCUCACAGUCCAUUCGAGAAGCGGGGGUUUCAGGGAAGGCCUCAUACACCAACACACAGCUAUUCGAUUUUGAAGAAAAAAAUAUAAGUCAUGAUAAUUCGAGGACUCUUUUCUUAUGUUUACACGACCCGUAUUUGUGAACACCAAACACUUGUACUAACAGCGUCGACACAAGCACACCGCUUUGGGGAACUCCAGGGGGAUUUUACACAAUCACACAGUCAAACACACACACCACCUGUAGAAUCGUGAAGGGGCUGUCAUCUGCACCACCUGACCGCCACCUGCCUCUUGUCCCACCUGUCGCAGCGACUCUGCCCACCUGUUGACCACCUGUGACAACCCUUCGUCUCCGGGUUUAAAAUCUCGUCUGGAGACUAAUUGGCAACUCAAGUUAUACCGAAGCUCCCAGUGUCCGAGCAAGAAGGGCACACGCGCUCCCCGUCAAGGUACCGCUGUGGACUAACCUGCGUCCGCCAUUUUUAUGAUCGUGUUUACAGCUGUGCAUUCAGAGAGAAGAACAGCUGCCCAACGCCUUCAGUCCUGUUGUCGGACAUAGUGCGGAUCUCUGCCAGGGAAGUCGUUAAUGUAUAAUUACUCUGACGCUCGCUGAGGUUCGUUAUUUUCAUGAGCAUGUUGCAUUAAUGUUUUAUCUGUGAUGAGGAGAUAAGGGAUGUAAUGUUGCAUGGAUUUUUUUUUUUUUUGUGUGUGUGGAGAUAUCAAGGCAAUGUAUUUAUAAUGACGGUUAGAGAGAUUUUCCUUAUCAAGUGUCAUGGUUUGAUGGUAUCGAUAAUGUUGUCUUGGGUAAUUUAAAUUCAUGGUAACGUUUAUUAUUGUCAUUAUUAUUGUUAAUAUCAAUUUGAUGAUGAUGAUCAUUAUUAUCUUUGUUAUCUUUAUUGCUGUAAUCAUCCUUCUUUUCAUUUGUAUCAUCAUUACUAUUAUCAUCAUCACAUCAUCAUUAUCUUUAUUAUCAUCAUCAUUUAUAUAAUUAUCAUUAUUGUAAAUACUAUAAUGCAGUUCACGAUUUCUGACAAUUUCAGUUUCCGUUCGAUCCACUGUUGGCGCCACGCAGGUACAUGUUAUAACCGAUUUACAACCAGGCUUUUUACUGUUUUAUACCAACGCUAUUAUCAAACUAUCGUUAUCCAUAUCUUGCUAUCAAACGCCAUAAAUCCUGCUGAGUAUUUAGAGACUCCAGGUGCGCCGGGUUAAGGGGAGAAUCAGGGAAGAAUAGGUGUGGUGGCAACGAUUACGUAACACUGGUUUAUCGCCUGAUUGAUCUAGAUUUUGGCGGGAAGCUCAUCACUGGGCAUCGCGUUGAUCCAAGAUGGCGGACCAGGCGAAAGAGCAAUGUUGACGAGGAAAAAUAUUAAGUGUUACAUCUCCAAGGCUUUGUGAUUGAGUCUUACAGUUAGGGAUGGAACAUUUAUAGAUUGCACACAGAAUUGCAUACGAAGACACACACACACACACACAUACACACACACACACACACACACACACACA
rnacentral:lncRNA from 1 species